UUUUUUUUUUUUUUUUUUUUUUUUUUUUUUUUUUUUUUUUUUGCUUAUAUGAAUUACGAUGCGUAUGCCUUAGUUGGAACAAAGGAGAUUUUUGGUGGUAUUUGUACGUAUUCUGAUUGUUGUGCUUCCGUCAUGAUUUUGUUUUCCUAUGGAAUUUAUAGGAAAUUAUGAUUGUUGUGUGAUGAAGAAAGAAAAAUAUUUUUUUGUUAAGGAUCGUGUUUUCCGUGCUUGAGGUCACAAUCCAUUUGUUUGCUUGCAGUUGUUGUGCUAUGAAUAGUUGCCUUGCAAUUGUUUAAUUGCGACUACUGCUUGGUCUAUUAGGUGUCUGAUUAUUGUUAUUUUAUCCUGGUUUCUUCUAUGUUAAAUAAAAUAAUGUGUACAAUGUUUAAGUACUGGUUGGAUAGGGUUUGAUUAAUAGAAUCGAUGUAUUUCCAGCUUUGAUGGCUUUAGAACCCUACUGUCAUUUCUUGAUGCAUUUAGUGUAAUUAAUCCUCUAUUUCGGGCAUCUAUCUUUGUUCAGGAAUUGUGUGAGAAAUUUGCCUGAGUGGCAGCAGCGUUUGUCACCUCCCUAUGCAAUUUCUGUCUUAGUUUGACUUUCUUUGGACCUGAAUGAUAGUUUAAUUUGAGGUAGCACAAGUUCAGAAUAUGUGUUGCCGACUUAUCUCAAACUCGUACAUGGUUUAGUCAAAUUGAUUACCUAAGAAUGGCUGAAUGGAUGCCAAAGGUGAAAAGUGUUUCAAGUGGAAUUGAUGGUUAAUUUUGAGAACAUCUGGCAAGAUAGGGAUUAGGAAUUCUCAAGUAGGACAGAUACAGAUGUGAUCAGAGCAUCUGGUGGUUGUUCAACAAAACUUUGCCUGGCUUGUUCUUGACUGCUAUUUCAGCGUAUACUGUCCAUGAUGUCUUUCUAUAGUAUGUAAGCUACAGUUCUGAAUCGAAAUUCCAACUAGGUAUUGAAUAUAUGGAAUCAUAAGACUGUCUAGAAACCUUUAGAAAGUAUAUAUAAACAGUGGACUAGUUACAAAAUCUUAAAGUAGAGAUUUUGAAGAUCUAAUACUGUUAUAAGCGAAAGUAUACUAAUCAAAACAAUCUUUACAUGGAAAAACUUGGUGCAGAGGAUCGUUAUUUUUUUCAUCUGUUCCUUUUCUGUUGCGAAAUUUUGAGGCCAUAAACAUUAGCAUUUCUACGUAUGUAUGUGAUCAAUCUGAAGUAGCAAAAUUGGGAACUUGAAUCAAACGGAAGUAGCAGUCAUCACAGUGCCCUUUUCUUUGGACAUACAUGUCCAUCUCCUGUGCAGUUUGUUCGUCACUCUGUGUCUUUUUUCCUAUAUUUUGUUCAACUUGCCGGUAACCAUAGAGGCUAUUGGUAUUUGCAGUUUUUGCCUUCCUUUAAUUGGCAGACUUUGGAUUGGGAGUUUGGAGUGCUUUCCAAGACUUGGCAGGUUAUUUCCUUCUGCUAUGUUUUGUCAUCCAACCGAUGUAAUCUUAGGUUUCUGAAGGAGAUCAUUCGUACGUGGUUGUGGCUCUCCUCAACAGUUGGCAUUGACUGCAUACAGUUUACUUAUUGCAUGAGAAGUUGGACCCCGAAAAAAGAUAGAUAUUAAGGCACAAGAUGCUUUUUAUAUGCAUCUCAAAACUUGUAGGCAUAGUAAAAUAUUAGGCAUGUCUUUGAUGAGGUCUUGGUUAACAAUAAUAAACUUCUGGUUGAAAAGGAAGAAACAAGUAAAGAGUUAAAAAAAUAAUAAGAAGAAGAAAAAGAAAAGGCAAAAAAUGAGCCAGAGAGUAUGGACCAGUGGACGUUGUUACACAACUGAUAACACUUUCCUUUCAGACAAUGACGCUUCCAAGUAACACGCUGUUAGGACUUAUAAAAUUCUUCAUCAGGGUAAGUUUCCCAUGUUGAAGACUACAUGAUGCAGAAUCUCAGACGGAGGUUGGACUACCCUUCGUCAGUAUCUCUUUAAAUGGAGGACUUCUCCAAGAAUGAAGUUAUCAUGCAAUCAUUAUUAUGUACUGCUGGACGCUUUGGAGCUAUGCAAUGCUUCAUGAUAGUUCUAGUUUGGGUUCCUUGUGGACCCACUUGUGGAUUCUUGUAGAUCAACUUGUUUUGAUGAAUUCUCACGGUGGAGUUUGCUGAUUGGAGCUGUUCAACCUUAGUUGGAAUGUGUAGUUGCUGGUUUCAAUUGGUGUUCUGCAAUGUGCGAGAAAGCAACAUUGUCUGAGGUGUUUUGCCCAUUUGGAGGGGCAAGUAGACAUGCCUUUUGUAGGUUUAGGACUUUUUCCUUAACUGUUUCCUGAAUGCAGGGCUUGUAGUAGUUAAGUUCAUCCAUAAGGCUCGAUGGGAGAUGUAGUGAUUGAACAUUCAGGGACUCCACGUUCUGAGGCAAUAAACAUGCACAACAUAAUAUUUAAGAGUGAUGCUGACGUGGUUCAGAAUUUCCAUGAGGGUUACUUGCCUGAGGAUGGAACACGUGACGAAAAAUCCUCUUCUACAGAAGCCCUUGACAUAGGAUACUUGGAAUAUGGCUGUUCUCACUAUCGGCGUAGAUGUCGCAUUAGAGCCCCUUGCUGCAAUGAAAUAUUUGACUGCAGGCAUUGUCAUAACGAAGCUAAGGUAAGUCCUUAUGAACGACGGAAUCAUAAUUUGGACAAUAGACAUGGUAAUUGGAGAUGAAAUUGAGUACACGCUUACAAAUAGUGAUAUUUCUGUCAUCAUAAUUGUGACUGAAAACGUGCACAAUAUGCUACAGUAAAAUUCCAAAUAAUAAAGCACCUGCAUCCAGCGACACGUGCAUAAUCAUUUGAAGGCACACUUUUUUCCUUUUCCUUUUUGGUUGCGGAGACACCUUGAUUUACCCUUCACGACAUUCCAUGAGUGUUCUUUCUAUAUAUCCUGGUGUUUCUGUCAUUCCUAUUUUAUUAUCUACCAAUUGUUUAGAUACAUAUCCUAUCCAUAGUUGGAUUGUUUUAUUUAUAUCUGCUACGCAAUCUAAAUCUAAAAAGUUAUAUUGUUCUGAUA